CUCUCUCUCUCUCUUAUACAUAUCACUUUGUCUCAGCGGCUCAGAACCAGAUCGGAACCGGCGGCUUCAGCUUCUUCAUCGCUCAGUAGCUCUUGCUCUCUCUUUCUCUCUGCGCGCGCGGCUGCUCUGAAGACUGAAACCAGAUCUUUCCGAACCAAAAGAAAACCCCCAAAGCCUUCUCUCUCAGCCUCUCUCACAUCUAGCCCUAAAUCGCUCUUCGUUGGGUGGAGAAAUAGAAGAGGUUGUAUAAGCUAGAGAGUUGUUGGAAAUGACUGCUGAAGCUUUGCAAGUUGCUAAGGCAUACCGCCACCUUCUCAAAGCUGUCAAGAACCACGUUGCCAAAGAAGACACUAAGCGGCAUUUCAGAGAUUAUGUAACUGAAGAAUUUAGAUUCACAUGAAAAACCCAGUCCAGACUAUCUGCUGCAACAAUAGAUUCUCUCAAGUUGUUUUGGAUAUGACUAUCUGACUAUCAUGAGGCUGGGUCAGAUCUGGCACUUACAAGCGAGGUAUCUGAUAUUAUGUUCUUGCUUAUGUGAACCUGGGAAGAAGUUCUCAGAUACUAUGGAGUUUCCUACCUAAUUGAUUUUUUCCUGUGGUUUUCUUUGAAAUUUGCAGGUAUUUGAGCAAUUAUGGUUCCAGGGUAGUGGUAAACAAUUCUGGUGUGGAAGAAAACAAGGAAAAGACAGUGGUUAUCUAAAGCUUGACUUGUACGAGAAUUCUGUUAUCUAAAGUUGGGUUACUGCAUAUUUACCUUGCUAGCAAUCUAAUUUCAUGUUCAAGGCCUAUUGGCAAUGACGUAAUUAGCAUUUAUUUGGGAACAAUCUUCUUGCAAGGAAAGGAGAGGGUUGGAAAUCCUGAGACAUUGAGUCUAAAGCUAGGAAGUGACAUUAUUUUAACUGAAAAGGUUCAACCCUGCGGUGGUAUUUGGAGUGACAACUGCUCUUUGAAAAUGGGAAGAAGACGCCCCUUCAUACUUGCAGGAUCUCUCAUUAUCUCUGUUGCCAUAAGUCAAUCAUUGCAAUUCUAGAGCUGCGUGCUAGGUGGGGGAACAGGAACUCAGCUAGCUUGCAUGAAUUUUGUUUUUUGGGGAAUUGCAGGUUCCGGAUGCAACUAGUGACCAUGAAAUUCGGAGGGAAUCUGUAGGAGAAGAAGGGAAUCUAGAUUCAAGCUGUGAUAGAGCAAUGGACUGAGUUUCAAUAUGUUCAUAUUCUGAUAGUGCAAUAUUGGAAUUUUUGUUAAGUGUUACUCUUGGUUGUCUUCAUUAGGUGCUUGGUUUUGGGCAUAACUUUGUA